rnacentral:rRNA from 1 species
GAUGAACGCUGGCGGCGUGCCUAAUACAUGCAAGUCGAGCGAACAGAUGAGGAGCUUGCUCCUCUGACGUUAGCGGCGGACGGGUGAGUAACACGUGGAUAACCUACCUAUAAGACUGGGAUAACUUCGGGAAACCGGAGCUAAUACCGGAUAAUAUAUUGAACCGCAUGGUUCAAUAGUGAAAGACGGUUUUGCUGUCACUUAUAGAUGGAUCCGCGCCGCAUUAGCUAGUUGGUAAGGUAACGGCUUACCAAGGCAACGAUGCGUAGCCGACCUGAGAGGGUGAUCGGCCACACUGGAACUGAGACACGGUCCAGACUCCGACGGGAGGCAGCAGUAGGGAAUCUUACGCGAGGGGGGAAAGCCUGACGGAGCAAAGCCGCGUGAGUGAUGAAGGUGUUAGGAUCGUAAAACUCUGUUAUUAGGGAAGAACAAAUGUGUAAGUAACUAUGCACGUCUUGACGGUACCUAAUCAGAAAGCCACGGCUAACUACGUG